ACGAAAGAUUGACGAUUGGUAAGAAUCCACAACAAGUUGUUCUUCAUGACGAUGUAUCUGAGGGUCUGUAGCUCAGUUGGUUAGAGCACACGCUUGAUAAGCGUGGGGUCACAAGUUCAAGUCUUGUCAGACCCACCACUACUGACGAAAGCAGUAAUGCAGAAAAACAGAUAUGUUGACUUAUUGAUAAGCUGGGGACUUAGCUUAGUUGGUAGAGCGCCUGCUUUGCACGCAGGAGGUCAGGAGUUCGACUCUCCUAGUCUCCACCACGAAUCAAACAUGAUUUGAUUCGAAGCUAGAGAUUACAGAAUUUAGUAAAUGGAAGGUUCAAGAAUCCUGGUUUAUUAACUUCUGUGAUUUAUCACAGUUGACUGCAAUCCGACGAGGAUGCAGUGAAUCAUUAACAGAUUGGCAAAUUUGAGUCUGAAAUAAAUUGUUCAACUCAUUCAAUAGACGUUACAGGGCAACCUGUUGACUAACGUAGAUUGAACUGAGAACUAGCAAAUUAACUGAAUCAAGCGUUUUGGUAUAUGAAUUUAGAUUGAAGCUGUACAGUGCUUAAAUGCACAGUGCUCUAAACUGUAAUGUUGAAGUUGCUCCUUGUAGGUAACGUCGACUGUUUGGGGUUGUAU
rnacentral:tRNA from 1 species